rnacentral:lncRNA from 1 species
UCAAGUCAUGUCAGACACCUAGUGGAACCCAACUUUACAUCAACGGACCACCGAUUACUGCAAAAUAAUGAAAUGGAUCAAUGAGCCAGUAUCUGUUCGCAAGAGAAAGUGGGUAAAAUAGAGCAAAACCUGUUGCAAAUAGAGGGAUUGUGUGCGUCGCCAAAAAUCGAAGAUGUAAAACCUGUUUCCUGCCAAUUCAAAAACCCUAAUAAAAUGGGGAGGGCAGGUAUCUGAAG